CUCCAGGAAGUAGCUCCCCUGUCCUCCCGCGCAAUGCUGUGUGGAGCGUUGCCAUGGUAACGCGCGGCAACGCUCCACACAGCAUCGCGCGGGAGGACAGGGGAGCUGCUUCCUGGAG